UACGUAGGCAGCAAGCGUUGUUCGGAAUUACUGGGCGUAAAGAGUGUGUAGGCGGUGCUCCAAGUCUGGUGUGAAAUCUCCCGGCUUAACUGGGAGGGUGCAUUAGAAACUGGAAUGCUAGAGGAUGGGAGAGGUAAGCGGAAUUCCUGGUGUAGCGGUGAAAUGCGUAGAUAUCAGGAGGAACACCUGUGGUGUAGACAGCUUACUGGACCAUUUCUGACGCUGAGACACAAAAGCGUGGGUAGCAAACAGG
rnacentral:rRNA from 1 species